rnacentral:sRNA from 12 species
GAAAGCUGUAUUUGAUGCCUACAUUGAUUUUAUCAAAGAAGGGAAUUAUAA